rnacentral:rRNA from 1 species
UACGAAGGGUGCAAACGUUGCUCGGAAUUAUUGGGCGUAAAGCGCACGUAGGCGGCAUUGCAAGUCGGAUGUGAAAUCUUAUGGCUUAACCAUAAAAGUGCAUCCGAAACUGCAGUGCUUGAGUACUUAAGAGGAUCGCGGAAUUCCCGGUGUAGAGGUGAAAUUCGUAGAUAUCGGGAGGAACACCAGUGGCGAAGGCGGCGAUCUGAGAAGAUACUGACGCUGAGGUGCGAAAGCGUGGGGAGCAAACAGG